AUACUUACCUGGCAGGAUAGAUACCAUGAUCAAGAAGGCGGUUCUCUCAGGGCGAGGCUCAGCCACUGCACUCCGUCUGUGCUGACUCCUGCGAAUUCCCCAAAUGUGGGAAUCUCGACUGGAGC
ensembl:snRNA U1 U1 spliceosomal RNA